GAUGAACGCUGGCGGCGUGCCUAACACAUGCAAGUCGAGCGAUUCUCUUCGGAGAAGAGCGGCGGACGGGUGAGUAACGCGUGGGUAACCUGCCCUGUACACACGGAUAACAUACCGAAAGGUAUGCUAAUACGAGAUAAUAUGCUUUUAUCGCAUGGUAGAAGUAUCAAAGCUCCGGCGGUACAGGAUGGACCCGCGUCUGAUUAGCUAGUUGGUAAGGUAACGGCUUACCAAGGCGACGAUCAGUAGCCGACCUGAGAGGGUGAUCGGCCACAUUGGAACUGAGACACGGUCCAAACUCCUACGGGGGGCAGCAGUGGGGAAUAUUGCACAAGGGGCGAAAGCCUGAUGCAGCAACGCCACGUGAGCGAUGAAGGCCUUCGGGUCGUAAAGCUCUGUCCUCAAGGAAGAUAAUGACGGUACUUGAGGAGGAAGCCCCGGCUAACUACGUGCCAGCCGCCGCGGUAA
rnacentral:rRNA from 1 species